UCCCCGAGGCGUUGACCCACUACAAAGAC
rnacentral:piRNA from 1 species